GAAUUGAUUGAUUGAAUGGGAAUGACCGUGAGUGGUCUUGUUGGCAUGUAAUCGACUAGGUCGAUUUGAUCCAUGCUUCGAUCAGUGAUGUGAUUGCUUGGAUGCCUAUUUGACCUGUACUAAUAUGCAGGUGGAAUCUGAGGCCAAGGUAAGUCCUCUGACUCAUGUUGUGCAUAGGCAGCCCUGAGGUAUAUUAGUUUACUAAUCGGGUCUUAGGGGGUAGAACUUGCUGAGACGUUGUCUCAAUGGUUAUUGAAUAACCAUUUCAGGACCCAGAUGAGGAGCUUAAGGAGGAGGAAUCUGAGGAGGAGAUCCCUGAUGAGGAACCCGAAGAGGAGUACGUGGAGGAGGACCCCGAGGAUGACCCCGAGUACGACUCGGAUGAGGACUGAGAUCUCGUCCUGUCUUAUAAGACCUUGUCUGCAUGUGAAUAGAUGUUAGAUCAGACUUACGUAUAUAUAGUAUUGUAGAAUACUAUGAGAUGCGUGUAAAAAUGUGUGGUUGUGAAUUUUCAGUAUGAAAAAU
rnacentral:lncRNA from 1 species